rnacentral:rRNA from 1 species
CAGCCGCCACGGUAAUACGAAGGGGGCUAGCGUUGUUCGGAUUUACUGGGCGUAAAGCGCACGUAGGCGGACUUUUAAGUCAGGGGUGAAAUCCCGGGGCUCAACCCCGGAACUGCCUUUGAUACUGGAAGUCUUGAGUAUGGUAGAGGUGAGUGGAAUUCCGAGUGUAGAGGUGAAAUUCGUAGAUAUUCGGAGGAACACCAGUGGCGAAGGCGGCUCACUGGACCAUUACUGACGCUGAGGUGCGAAAGCGUGGGGAGCAAACAGGAUUAGAUACCCGUGUAGUCCCUGUCUCUUAUAC